rnacentral:rRNA from 1 species
GACGAACGCUGGCGGCGUGCCUAAUACAUGCAAGUCGAGCGAAGUUUUUCUGGUGCUUGCACUAGAAAAACUUAGCGGCGAACGGGUGAGUAACACGUAAAGAACCUGCCUCAUAGACUGGGACAACUAUUGGAAACGAUAGCUAAUACCGGAUAACAGCAUUAACUGCAUGGUUGAUGUUUAAAAGUUGGUUUUGCUAACACUAUGAGAUGGCUUUGCGGUGCAUUAGCUAGUUGGUGGGGUAAAGGCCUACCAAGGCGACGAUGCAUAGCCGACCUGAGAGGGUGAUCGGCCACACUGGGACUGAGACACGGCCCAGACUCCUACGGGAGGCAGCAGUAGGGAAUCUUCCGCAAUGGGCGAAAGCCUGACGGAGCAACGCCGCGUGAGUGAAGAAGGAUUUCGGUUCGUAAAGCUCUGUUGUUAGGGAAGGAUGAUUGUGUAGUAACUAUACACAGUAGAGACGGUACCUAACCAGAAAGCCACGGCUAACUACGUGCCAGCAGCCGCGGUAAUACGUAGGUGGCAAGCGUUGUCCGGAAUUAUUGGGCGUAAAGCGCGCGCAGGUGGUUUAAUAAGUCUGAUGUGAAAGCCCACGGCUCAACCGUGGAGGGUCAUUGGAAACUGUUAAACUUGAGUGCAGGAGAGAAAAGUGGAAUUCCUAGUGUAGCGGUGAAAUGCGUAGAGAUUAGGAGGAACACCAGUGGCGAAGGCGGCUUUUUGGCCUGUAACUGACACUGAGGCGCGAAAGCGUGGGGAGCAAACAGG